rnacentral:rRNA from 1 species
ACUGCUCAGUAACACGUGGACAACCUGCCCUUAGGUUGGGUAUAAACCCGGGAAACUGGGUAUAAUACCCGAUAGGUCUCGAUUGCUGGAAUGCAUCGAGAUUUAAAGCUCCGGCGCCUAAGGAUGGGUCUGCGGCCUAUCAGGUAGUAGUGGGUGUAGCGUACCUACUAGCCUACGACGGGUACGGGUUGUGAGAGCAAGAGCCCGGAGAUGGAUUCUGAGACACGAAUCCAGGCCCUACGGGGUGCAGCAGGCGCGAAAACUUUACAAUGCUGGCAACAGCGAUAAGGGAACCUCGAGUGCCAGGUUACAAAUCUGGCUGUCGAGAUGCCUAAAAAGCAUUUCAUAGCAAGGGCCGGGCAAGACCGGUGCCAGCCGCCGCGGUAACACCGGCGGCUCGAGUGGUAACCGUUAUUAUUGGGUCUAAAGGGUCUGUAGCCGGCCGGAUAAGUCUCUUGAGAAAUCUGGCAGCUUAACUGUCAGGCUUUCAGGAGAUACUGUCUAGCUCGAGGCCGGGAGAGGUGAGAGGUACUUCAGGGGUAGGGGUGAAAUCUUGUAAUCCUUGAAGGACCACCAGUGGCGAAGGCGUCUCACCAGAACGGACCUGACGGCAAGGGACGAAAGCUAGGGGCACGAACCGGAUUAGAUACCCGGGUAGUCCUAGCCGUAAACGAUACUCGCUAGGUGUCGGCCACGGUGCGACCGUUGUCGGUGCCGUAGGGAAGCCGUGAAGCGAGCCACCUGGGAAGUACGGCCGCAAGGCUGAAACUUAAAGGAAUUGGCGGGGGAGCAC